GCCUACGGGGGGCUGCAGGGAGGAAUAUUGGGCAAUGGACGAAAGUCUGACCCAGCAACGCCGCGUGAAGGAUGAAGGCCUUCGGGUCGUAAACUUCUUUUGAGGGAGACGAGAAAGGACGGUAUCCCUCGAAUAAGCCACGGCUAACUACGUGCCAGCAGCCGCGGUAAAACGUAGGUGGCGAGCGUUAUCCGGAUUCAUUGGGCGUAAAGAGCUUGUAGGUGGUGCGAUAAGUUGGACGUGAAAACUCCGGGCUUAACUUGGAGAGGCCGUUCAAUACUGUUGUGCUAGAGGGCGUCAGAGGGAAGUGGAAUUCCUGGUGUAGCAGUGAAAUGCGUAGAUAUCAGGAGGAACAUCCGUGGCGAAGGCGGCUUCCUGGGGCGCACCUGACACUGAGAAGCGAAAGCUAGGGGAGCAAACGGGAUUAGAUACCCCAGUAGUC
rnacentral:rRNA from 1 species